rnacentral:rRNA from 1 species
UACAGAGGUCUCAAGCGUUGUUCGGAUUCAUUGGGCGUAAAGGGUGUGUAGGUGGCGCGCUAAGUCGGGUGUGAAAUUUCGGAGCUUAACUCCGAAACUGCAUUCGAUACUGGCGUGCUUGAGGACUGGAGAGGAGACCGGAAUUCAUGGUGUAGCAGUGAAAUGCGUAGAGAUCAUGAGGAAGACCAGUGGCGAAGGCGGGUCUCUGGACAGUUACUGACACUGAGGCACGAAGGCCAGGGGAGCAAACGGA